GCUGGUGUAGCUCAGCAGGUAGAGCAAUUGACUUGUAAUCAAUAGGUCGGGGGUUCGAUUCCGUCCACCAGCUCCA
rnacentral:tRNA from 1 species